AUCCGAUUUAGCCAUGCUAGUCGCACGAGUUCAGACUCGUGGCGAAUAGCUCAGUAACACGUGGCCAAACUACCCUUCGGAACACAAUACCCUCGGGAAACUGAGGCUAAUAGUGUAUACCAUACCACCACUGGAAUGAGUGGUAUGCCAAACGCUCCGGCGCCGAAGGAUGUGGCUGCGGCCGAUUAGGUAGACGGUGGGGUAACGGCCCACCGUGCCAAUAAUCGGUAUGGGUCAUGAGAGUGAGAACCCAGAGACGGAAUCUGAGACAAGAUUCCGGGCCCUACGGGGCGCAGCAGGCGCGAAACCUUUACACUGCACGACAGUGCGAUAGGGGGAUCCCAAGUGCACAGGCAUAGCGCCUGUGCUUUUCGGUACCCUAAGGCGGUACCAGAAUAAGGGCUGGGCAAGACCGGUGCCAGCCGCCGCGGUAAUACCGGCAGCCCAAGUGAUGGCCGAUCUUAUUGGGCCUAAAGCGUCCGUAGCUGGCCGCGCAAGUCCAUCGGGAAAUCCACCUGCUCAACAGGUGGGCGCCCGGUAGAAACUGCGUGGCUUGGGACCGGAAGGCGCGACGGGUACGUCCGGGGUAGGAGUGAAAUCCCGUAAUCCUGGACGGACCGCCGAUGGCGAAAGCACGUCGCGAGAACGGAUCCGACAGUGAGGGACGAAAGCCAGGGUCUCGAACCGGAUUAGAUACCCGGGUAGUCCUGGCCGUAAACAAUGUCUGCUAGGUGUGGCUCCCACUACGAGUGGGUGCUGUGCCGUAGGGAAGCCGCUAAGCAGACCGCCUGGGAAGUACGUCCGCAAGGAUGAAACUUAAAGGAAUUGGCGGGAGCACU
rnacentral:rRNA from 1 species